ensembl:lncRNA
AAGAUGGCUUGCAGGCAUCUCAGGAAUUGGCCAGACCCCACUCAUCUCAGGCUCAAGGGUACAAAAACAUAAACCUUUCAUUUGAACAGACAGUCCUCGGACACCCUGCUUAUUCUGGGCCACCAAAGGAAAUACUUCCCCAAGUUCAUCCAUCCAUGUACUCAGGGGCUGUUGCAGACACAGUCCCAGAGAAGGUCUUGCUAUUGCUCAAGCUGGUAGCCAAUUGUGGUAUUAUCAACCUGGUGCUGGUUUUUCAGGCAUGCAGAAUACAAGAGUUAUGAGGUCACAGAGGCUUCCAUUCAGAUUUCAGAAGGCAUUGGAGACCAAGCCAAAAUGUAUGGCAUGGUCACAGUUCCUGCCAGUAGCCCAUGAGAGGGCAAUGUGUGCAGCUAGCUAUAAGAGUGACACCAAAGGUGUAGCAGAGACCCCAGGAAGUUGGAGAUGCCAGGAAUGUGGAACAUCUGCUUUGGGAAGCCACAGCUAAAACCUCAAUGGUCUGAUGAUGCUGUGAUGCUCCAGGGCAAGAUUACACCAGCUGAAGACAUCCUGGGAGGAACAAAAUCUUCACCUGCUGCAUAGCUCCUCAUUGUUCUAGGAUUUUCACACCUGUUACCCUGCUGCCCUCUGAGUCACCUUUUACAUUUGUUACUCCUGAUGUACUGAACUUGCUGCCCUCUGGGUCAUCUGUUAGAUUUGUUUCUCCUGAUGUACUGAAUAAAGGUGUGGCAAGCUCGAGGUCUUUCAUCUUUGCUGCCCAGAGCAGCAUUGAUCAGGCCCAAAGCUCAGCUUCUUCUGUAAGCCUCAUUUUUCUCUUUUCUGUCUAAUAAAUUAAUUCACCUUGUGCUGUCAUGGCUUACAGGAGACUAAGACCUACUCCAGAGGUUCUAGUAAUGUCCCCUUUCCCUGUUCCCUACACUGCCUAAGCCCUUUGGAGCUCACAUCUCAACACAACCUGCCAAGGGUUCUGUACAUGCAGGUACAGGAUUUAGUGUUUGUGCUACUGGUUUUCAGUCUUACUUUCAUUUGAUUUCUGUAUAUUCCCCUAUUCUUCCCUUUUGGAAUGGAAAUGUUUGUCCUGUGUCACUGUAUGUUGGAAGUGUUUAACUUAUUUAUUUUUACAGGGCCUCACAACUAAGAGUUUGCCUUCAGUCUCAGAAGAGACUUUGGGAUUGGACUUUUCAGCAAUGCUGGAAUUGUUAAGGUUCUGGCAACUCUUAGAGAUGGACUAGAUGCAUUUUGCAUAAUGAGAUGGACCUGAGCCUUUUGGGGCUGGGAUGGAAUGUUAUGCUCUUUCCUUCUCUCUGCUUCCUGGCCAGCAUAUAGUGAAGAGCUUUCCUCCUUCCAUGCUGUUCUGAUAUGCCAUUUCUGCCUUGAAGUUGACCUACCAUGGACUAUACCCACUGAAACUGUGAGCAAACAAUAAACCUCUUUCAUAUGUUGCAGGUGUCAGAUAUUUUUUUCUCAACAAAGGUAAGUUGACUAAUACAAGUAGUAAAUAUUGGCAUUUCACUCUGUAUCAGGCUGUGUUCUAAACUCUCACAUUUAUUACCUCAUUCAACCCAAACAGC